rnacentral:rRNA from 1 species
GUGCACGCGGUAGGAGAGCGUUCUGUAAGCCUGCGAAGGUGGCUUGUAAAGGCUGCUGGAGGUAUCAGAAGUGCGAAUGCUGACAUGAGUAGCGAUAAAGGGGGUGAAAAGCCCCCUCGCCGUAAGUCCAAGGUUUCCUGCGCAACGUUCAUCGGCGCAGGGUGAGUCGGCCCCUAAGGCGAGGCAGAGAUGCGUAGCUGAUGGGAAGCUGGUUAAUAUUCCAGCACCGUCGUACAGUGCGAUGGGGGGACGGAUCGCGGAAGAUCAUCAGGGUGUUGGAUGUCCCUGUUGCUGCAUCGAAGAUGGCGCUUAGGCAAAUCCGGGCGCGUAAAUCAAGGGUGUGGCACGAGCGAGCAUUGCUUGCGAAGUGAUUGGAAGUGGUUCCAAGAAAAGCCUCUAAGCUUCAGCUGUACGAGACCGUACCGCAAACCGACACAGGUGGACGGGAUGAAUAUUCCAAGGCGCUUGAGAGAACUCAGGAGAAGGAACUCGGCAAAUUGAUACCGUAACUUCGGGAGAAGGUAUACCCCGGUAGUGUGAAGCGCCUGCGCGCUUAGCAUGAUGGGGUCGCAGAGAAUCGGUGGCUGCGACUGUUUAUUAAAAACACAGCACUCUGCAAAGACGAAAGUCGACGUAUAGGGUGUGACGCCUGCCCGGUGCCGGAAGGUUAAGUGAUGGGGUGCAAGCUCUUGAUCGAAGCCCCGGUAAACGGCGGCCGUAACUAUAACGGUCCUAAGGUAGCGAAAUUCCUUGUCGGGUAAGUUCCGACCUGCACGAAUGGCGUAACGAUGGCCACACUGUCUCCUCCUGAGACUCAGCGAAGUUGAAGUGUUUGUGAUGAUGCAAUCUACCCGCGGCUAGACGGAAAGACCCCAUGAACCUUUACUGUAGCUUUGCAUUGAUCUGUGAACCGGCCUGUGUAGGAUAGGUGGGAGGCUUUGAAGCGUAGUCGCUAGAUUACGUGGAGCCAUCCUUGAAAUACCACCCUGGUUUGUUUGCGGUUCUAACCUUGGUCCGUUAUCCGGAUCGGGGACAGUGCAUGGUGGGCAGUUUGACUGGGGCGGUCUCCUCCCAAAGUGUAACGGAGGAGUUCGAAGGUACGCUAGGUACGGUCGGAAAUCGUGCUGAUAGUGCAAUGGCAUAAGCGUGCUUGACUGUGAGACUGACAAGUCGAACAGGUGCGAAAGCAGGACAUAGUGAUCCGGUGGUUCUGAAUGGAAGGGCCAUCGCUCAACGGAUAAAAGGUACUCUGGGGAUAACAGGCUGAUACCGCCCAAGAGUUCAUAUCGACGGCGGUGUUUGGCACCUCGAUGUCGGCUCAUCUCAUCCUGGGGCUGUAGCCGGUCCCAAGGGUAUGGCUGUUCGCCAUUUAAAGAGGUACGUGAGCUGGGUUUAAAACGUCGUGAGACAGUUUGGUCCCUAUCUGCCGUGGGCGUUGGAUACUUGACGGAGCCUGCUCCUAGUACGAGAGGACCGGAGUGGACGUACCUCUGGUGUACCGGUUGUCAUGCCAAUGGCAUUGCCGGGUAGCUAAGUACGGAAGAGAUAACCGCUGAAGGCAUCUAAGCGGGAAACUCGUCUGAAGAUAAGGUAUCCCGGGGACUUGAUCCCCCUGAAGGGUCGUUCGAGACCAGGACGUUGAUAGGUCGGGUGUGGAAG